rfam:Triticum aestivum genome assembly, contig: Triticum_aestivum_CS42_TGACv1_scaffold_644296_T_3B-0.181479_4BS-0.148723
CAAAUACUCCCUCCGUUCCUAAAUAUAAGUCAUUGUAGAGAUUCCACUAUGGACUAUAUACGGAUGCAAUGCAUCCGUAUAUAGUCCAUAGUGGAAUCUUUACAAAGACUUAUAUUUAGGAACGGAGGGAGUACAAA